rnacentral:lncRNA from 1 species
AUUUCUAUGUUAAUUAUUUAUGUUAUAUAACCUAUAUAUAAACCAAUUCUUACAUGUUGAUUUGCAUCGUCUUUCAGAUCCAAGGGAGUCGGAAUCAUUCCGUCCAGAUGACAUGCAUCACGGAAUGGAAGUGCGUUUAGGUAUGUCUAAAGGACCAGCGUGUCCCAGUUUCAUUUGAAGCGCUGAAAUUUUUUUAGGAACGAACUUUUGUGUUCUGCUUUGUGGUGCAACUGAAAUUAAGCUUGUUUUAAUGACUACAACUGACGGGAAUGGUAUUUUUAAAUAUUUGACCAACUUAAGAAGACAAAUUUCCCCCCUCCUUUCAUGUUACAUUUAUUUUUUAAAGUUUGAGACAUGGUGAAAAUGAUUAAUAGCAGCGAACAGGAAGCUUCAAAAUUUGACUAGAGAAAUAGAAUACUGAAAUGGUGUUCGUAUUGUUUGUGUAUGAGUUGUGAUGUAUAGAGUUAAUUGUUCCAAUGGUCACUAAACUUAUGUAUGUG